AUGAACCCAGCAAAGAAGCGGAUGGUCAUGGACGACCUGGACGACUUCCGCGACAGCCGGGACUACUACCGCCGCAUCGGCAAGGCGUGGAAGCGCGGCUACCUCCUCUACGGGCCGCCGGGCACAGGCAAGUUCUCCAUGGUCGCCGCCAUGGCCAACCACCUCAACUACGACGUCUACGACGUCGAUCUCGCCUCCGUGCACACCAACGGCGACCUCCGCAAGCUCUUCGCCGAGACCACGCGAAGCUUCAUGGACGGGCUGUGGUCGGCGCACGGCGGCGAGCGGAUCAUCGUGGUCACCACCAACUGGUCCCGCGCGCUCGACGAUCCGGCGCUGGCCCGGCGGGGGAGGAUGGACGUGCACAUCGAGAUGAGCUACUGCGAGUUUGGGGCGUUCAUGACGCUCGCCAAGAACUACCUCGGCGUGGACGCGCACCCUCUCUUCUACGCCGUGGAGGAGCUGCUGCGGGUGGCGGACAUGACGCCCGCGGACGUCGCCGAGUGCCUGAUGUCGCGCUCCGAGCGCGCCGCCCGCGGCGAUGCCGAUGCAUGCCUCGCGCGCUUGGUUGACGAGCUCAAGAGGAAGGCCGUCGUGGGGAAGACGGCGGUCAAGGAGAAACUUGUAUUGUUACCGGGAAAGGAGGAGAGUGAGAAUCAGGCGUCUGUGACAGGAAAAGGCGGGGAAGCCACGGCCGACGGAAAAACUAGCUAG
rnacentral:rRNA from 1 species